GCCCGGGUGGUGAAACUGGUAGACACAAGGGACUUAAAAUCCCUCGGGAGAAAUCCUGUGCCGGUUCGACUCCGGCCCCGGGCACCA
rnacentral:tRNA from 1 species